AAAAACUUUCAACAACGGAUCUCUUGGUUCUGGCAUCGAUGAAGAACGCAGCGAAAUGCGAUAAGUAAUGUGAAUUGCAGAAUUCAGUGAAUCAUCGAAUCUUUGAACGCACAUUGCGCCCUCUGGUAUUCCAGAGGGCAUGCCUGUUCGAGCGUCAUUU
rnacentral:rRNA from 1 species